UUGGAGGGCAAGUCUGGUGCCAGCAGCCGCGGUAAUUCCAGCUCCAAUAGCGUAUAUUAAAGUUGUUGCAGUUAAAAAGCUCGUAGUUGAAUUUCGGGGUUCUACCGUUGGUCGGGCUUUGUCUGUACUGGUGUGUAGAAUUUCUACCUUCUGGGGAACCAUCAUGCUAUUAAUUUAGCGUGGUGAGAAACCAGGACCUUUACCUUGAAAAAAUUAGUGUGUUCAAAGCAGGCUUAUGUCUGAAUACAUUAGCGUGGAAUAAUAGAAUAGGACGGUGGUCCUGUUUUGUUGGUUUCUGAAUCACCGUAAUGAUUAAUAGGGAUAGUUGGGGGCAUUAGUAUUCAAUUGUCAGAGGUGAAAUUCUUGGAUUUAUUGAAGACUAACUUCUGCGAAAGCAUUUGCCAAGGAUGUUUUCAUUAAUCAAGAACGAAAGUUAGGGGAUCGAAGACGAUCAGAUACCGUCGUAGUCUUAACCAUAAACUAUGCCGACUAGGGAUCGGACGAUGUUAAUUUUUCUUGUCUCGUUCGGCGCCUUACGGGAAAC
rnacentral:rRNA from 1 species